AUUGAACGCUGGCGGCAGGCCUAACACAUGCAAGUAGAACGAGUGGCGGACGGGUGAGUAAUGUCUGGGAAACUGCCUGAUGGAGGGGGAUAACUACUGGAAACGGUAGCUAAUACCGCAUACCAUCGGAUGUGCCCAGAUGGGAUUCGCUAGUAGGUGGGGUAAAGGCUCACCUAGGCGACGAUCCCUCGCUGGUCUGAGAAGAUGACCAGCCACACUGGAACUGGGACACGGUCCAGACUCCUACGGUAGUCAGCAGUGGGGAAUAUUGCACCAUGGGCGCAAGCCUGAUGCAGCCAUGCCGCGUGUAUGAAGAAGGCCUUCGGGUUGUAAAGUACUUUCAGCGGGGAGGCGUUACCCGCAGAAGAAGCACCGGCUAACUCCGUGCCAGCAGCCGCGGUAAUUC
rnacentral:rRNA from 1 species